UGUACAACUAUUAAUAGUGUUGAAGAUUGUUCUCUUGUACCAAUGCAAUAUUAGUGGUUGUGAAAAAUGAGAAUCACACAUUGUUUUAGACUUAAAAAUGGCUAGGAGAUUCUACUCUCAUGCUUAGAUUUCCUAAUCUUUAUGUAGAUUGAGGAAAUUCAAAUGCUAAGAUUUCAGAGAUAAGAACCUGGAAUGGCAACAGUUGGACAUGGUUCUUCUCAUGGAGAAAAAGAUUUUGGGAGUGGAAAAGGGUAAAGGAAGAGGAAUUAUUAUCAGAGGCCUCUUUAAGCCAAAAUGUUAUUGAAAUGAAGAUAUGGAGACCAAGCCCGAAGGGGUUUUUUUCAGUAAAGAAAUGUACUUUUUUUUAGUCGAUUUUUCCAAGGAAAAAGUCAUUUUAGGUGGAUAUAUGGUACUAUGGUGCUCCACCAAAGGUACAGUUUCAUUUAUAGCUUACUAUCUUGAAUAAAUUAACUAUAAAAGAAUUUCUACAUCGAAGAGGUUUGUUACAAAGUAAUGAUUUAAUCUGUUUAUUUUUAAAAAUAAAGACUGAAAUUAUGAAUCAUACUCUACUGUUUAUUCCUUUCGAGUUGCAAUUUGACUGAAAUGUAAUUAUAGGAGUUUUUGCUAUAUUGGAUCAGAUUUACUACGUUCAUCAAAUGAUCUUCUUACGUGGACUAAUAAGAUAAAAAAAGUUUUUAAAUAUGUCUAAAUUAUUCUGCUAAUGCUAUCUUUCCUGAUACAGAAAGGAAACUGCAAGUUUUCAUUAUUUCCCGUUAAGCAUUCCUGAUACUAGAAGGAAAAUUUCCUCUUCAAAAUACAGGCUGCAAUCAAGAUUUAUUUUUGAUGUCUCUGAUCUUCUUGUGGAAUCUAAGGGUUUUUGGGCAUUGGCUAAUCAAAAAACGCGGGGCGCUGGCGCUGCGUCUCUGGUCUCACUAUUCUUUUUCCUAAAGGAACCCACAAAGAAAAUUGUGGCUGCCACAAGAAAAUGCAAGAGGAAAUACAAGAGGAGAACAACAAGAACAAAGAAACCUGUACCAGCACUAGUAGUUUGCUCCCAAUGGUGAUUAGAGAAGAGGACACCGGUAGCGGCUUUCAGAUGCCACUUCACUACCCAAAUUACACCAAGGAGGAUUAUGAAGACAUGCCUGAAUCGAAGCUUGACCUUCUCCUGGCUACCCAAAUUAAACCAAAUUCUUAGCUAUAAUAGCUAGCGGGAGCUAAAAACAAAAUCUACUUGGCUAGCUUUUAUAGCAAAAUAAACAGUGCUCGCUACAUAUAGCGAGUACUGUAGCACUCCUCAGUUGUUGAUGGCUGGUGGCGCGUGAGAGAAGAUUGGGCAGCGUUGUUUGCGGGAAAAAGAAGGCAGAGGAAGUAUUGUGGUGCCUAGUACACACCAAAUGGGGGUGGAGAAGGUAAAGAGGGAGAAGAUGUCUGGGUUUUAGCUUUGAUUCCUUUCUUUGUCUCUUCAAUCUCUCAAAACAACCCUUUAUUCCUCCCUUUCUUCUCCUUUGAUUUCUGGGUUUUAACUAUGACAUCAGCACAAGAGUUGUGGUGGAUUGUUGAGAGUCAUGAUUCAACUUUGGGCUGAGUUUGUGCUCAUUCUUCCAAUUCCAGCACGAGCUGAUAGCUUUCAAUUUAUUUCCCAUCUGAAUAUAUUUCUAAACUCAGCAGUUUUAGGCUCCUAUGUAACAGGUUCUUGACGUCUAAUCCCAUGUUCUUUCGUUCAACAAAACCUAUGAUUAACAAGAUGAUUACCAGCA